AUUGAACGCUGGCGGCAGGCCUAACACAUGCAAGUCGAGCGAGAGGCGGACGGGUGCGUAAUGUAUGGGGACUGCCCGAUAGAGGGGGAUAACUCCUGGAAACGGUAUCUCUUACCGCAUACUAUCGGAUAACCCAUAGGGGAUUAGCUAGUAGGUGAGGGAAUGGCUCACCUAGGCGCCGCUCCCUAGCUGGUCUGAGAGGAUGAUCAGCCACACUGGGACUGAGACACGGCCCAGACUCAUACGGAGGCAGCAGUGGGGAAUAUUGCACAAUGGGCGCAAGCCUGAUGCAGCCAUGCCGCGUGUAUGAAGAAGGCCUUAGGGUUGUAAAGUACUUUCAGUCGGGAGGCGUUACCGACAGAAGAAGCACCGGCUAACUCCGUGCCAGCCGCCGCGGUAAUUC
rnacentral:rRNA from 1 species